rnacentral:rRNA from 1 species
AUUGAACGCUGGCGGUAUGCUUUACACAUGCAAGUCGAACGGUAGAGGGGCAACCCUUGAGAGUGGCGAACGGGUGAGUAAUACAUCGGAACGUGCCCAGUCGUGGGGGAUAACGUAGCGAAAGCUACGCUAAUACCGCAUACGACCUGAGGGUGAAAGCGGGGGACUCGCAAGGGCCUCGCGCGAUUGGAGCGGCCGAUGGCAGAUUAGGUAGUUGGUGAGGUAAAGGCUCACCAAGCCGACGAUCUGUAGCUGGUCUGAGAGGACGACCAGCCACACUGGGACUGAGACACGGCCCAGACUCCUACGGGAGGCAGCAGUGGGGAAUUUUGGACAAUGGGCGCAAGCCUGAUCCAGCCAUACCGCGUGCAGGAAGAAGGCCUUCGGGUUGUAAACUGCUUUUGUCAGGGAAGAAAUCUUCUGGGCUAAUACCCUGGGAGGAUGGCGGUACCUGAAGAAUAAGCACCGGCUAACUACGUGCCAGCCGCCGCGGUAACAC